GCCGGAAAAGUUCACAAAUUCCACAUGCCUGUACUCUCUCUGAACUCACUGCUCUCUCUGACUCUGACUCUUUGACCCUCUGCGCUCUAUCUCCCUCUUCAUGCAUAUAUCGAUCGAGAUAAACACACCCUCUCUCUCUCUCUCUCUCUCUAUCUCUCUCUCGUCCAGUCAAGUUCAUGCAUAUUUCGUUGAGUUAACUUUCUGACAUGUCUCACUGCAAGAGCUCUAUAUAACACUUCUUUUAAGAUCAAUCAUUCAAAAAAAAGAAAAAGAAAAAGAGAAGAUGGCAAAUCACGCUUCAUGGCGGAAUUACCUUCAGACCCAUCUCAUGUGUGCGAUUAACGGUCAUCAGCUCACCGAAGGGGCUAUUGUUGCCCGACAGGGCUCCAUUUUGGCCCAAACCGAGGAAUUUCCUUCAUUUCGGGCAACAGAAAUGGCAAUUCUACUGCGUGAACUUAGAGAACCGGGAUCAACUACAGUGACCAAGGAAGGCUUUCUUUUCGGAGGCCAGAAUUAUACUACUGAAGACGGACUAAAUGAUGAUAUGAUUCUAGGGACCCGGCCGGGGCUCAAUAUUACUUUUAAGCUGACCCCAACCACCAUUAUCAUUGGAACAUAUAACCCUGCAGUGUCGAAUCCGGCGGUCUGUAACCAAAUUGUCCGCAAUCUGGGGGAUUUCCUUGUUAGCCGCGGUGUCUAGGAAUUAGAAGCAUAGGCAAGCGAGGAGCGUGGAGUACGUGUUUACCAAGUGGUUACUGUCCCUAGUGCGAUGGACUUAUAUUAUAUCUUUGAACUGGUGCUUUCUCGAGUUCUUAAGUAGUACCAUUAUCUUAUCUUAAUUUAUCCUACUUUGUAGUCUGUUAAGUGUGAGCGUUUUAUGUAUUAAUGCCAGAU